UACGAAGGGGGCUAGCGUUGUUCGGAAUUACUGGGCGUAAAGGGCUCGUAGGCGGCCAACUAAGUCCGACGUGAAAUCCCCAGGCUUAACCUGGGAACUGCGUCGGAUACUGGAUGGCUUGAAUUCGGGAGAGGGAUGCAGAAUUCCAGGUGUAGCGGUGAAAUGCGUAGAUAUCUGGAGGAAUACCGGUGGCGAAGGCGGCAUCCUGGACCGACAUUGACGCUGAGGAGCGAAAGCUAGGGGAGCAAACGGGG
rnacentral:rRNA from 1 species